GCCCGGAUGGCGGAAUGGCAGACGCAGAGGGCUUAAACCCCUCGGCCCUUCGGGGCAUGCGGGUUCGAGUCCCGCUCCGGGCA
rnacentral:tRNA from 1 species